GAUGAACGCUGGCGGCGUGCUUAACACAUGCAAGUCGAGCGAACAGAUAAGGAGUUUGCUCCUUUGAAGUUAGCGGCGGAUGGGUGAGUAAUACGUGGGUAACCUACCUAUAAGACUGGGAUAAUUUAGGGAAAUCGGAGUUACUACUGGUUAACAAUUAGAACAGCAUGGUUUUAUAGUGACUGUUGGUUCUGCUAUAAAUUAUUGAUGGACCCGAGCCGUAUUAGCUAGUUGGUGAGGUAACGGCUUACCAAGGCGACGAUACGUAGCCGACCUGAGAGGAUGAGCAGCCACACUGGAACUGAGACACGGUCCAAACUCCUACGGGAAGCAGCAGUAGGGAAUCUUCCGCAAUGAGCGAAGACCUUACGAAACAACACCGCGUGUGUGAUGAAGGAUUUCGGCUCGUAAAACUCAGUUAUUAGGGAAGAACAAUUGUUUAAGUAACUGUGCACAUCUUGACGGUACCUAAUCAGGAAGCCACGGCUAACUACGUG
rnacentral:rRNA from 1 species